rfam:Triticum aestivum genome assembly, contig: Triticum_aestivum_CS42_TGACv1_scaffold_112396_2AS
AAAAUACUCCCUCUGUUUUAAAAAAUUUGUCUUAGAUUUGUCCAAAUACGGAUGUAUCUAAUACUAAAACGUGACUUGAUACAUCCGUAUCUAGACAAAUGUAAAAUAAGAAUGUUGGGACGGAGGAAGUAUGAA